CUACGGGCGGCAGCAGUGAGGAAUAUUGCACAAUGGGGGGAACCCUGAUGCAGCAACGCCGCGUGGAGGAUGACGCAUUUCGGUGUGUAAACUCCUUUUAUAUGUCAAGAAAAUGACGGUAGCAUAUGAAUAAGCACCGGCUAAUUCCGUGCCAGCAGCCGCGGUAAUACGGAGGGUGCAAGCGUUACUCGGAAUCACUGGGCGUAAAGGACGCGUAGGCGGGUUGGAAAGUCAGGUGUGAAAUCCUACAGCUUAACUGUAGAACUGCACUUGAAACUUCUAAUCUAGAGUAUGGGAGGGGGAGAUGGAAUUAGUGGUGUAGGGGUAAGAUCCGUAGAUAUCACUAGGAAUACCUAAAGCGAAGGCGAUCUCCUGGAACAUUACUGACGCUAAGGCGUGAAAGCGUGGGGAGCAAACAGGAUUAGAUACCCCGGUAGUC
rnacentral:rRNA from 1 species